rnacentral:rRNA from 1 species
CAACCCGUCUCUGUUGCAAAAGAGUGGGAAGAUUUUCAAGUAGAGGUGACAAGCCUAUCGAACUUAGAGAUAGCUGGUUGUUCAGGAAAAGAGUCCAAGCUCUACCUUAAGUUUUUUCAAUUAGCCUAAACAAAAUCCUAAACUUAAGAGCUAUUCAAGUAAGGCACAGCUUACUUGAAACAGGGUACAACCUCCCACAUUGGGUAAACAAGAACAAAUUAAACAAAGUCGGCCUAAGAGCAGCCAUCUUAUAAAAAGCGUUAAAGCUUAACUUAUAUGCACUUAUAAUUCCAAUAGUUACUAUUAACCCCUCAUUACUACUGAACUAUUUUAUAACCUUAUAAAAAUUAUUAUGCUAGAACUAGUAACAUGAAUACUUUUCUCCUUAAUGUAAGCUUAAACCAUAAUGGACCAUCCACUGGUAUUUAACGUAACUGUUCUUAUUAUAGCAACAUACGUCUAGAAAACCCUAUAAUCAAUAACGUUAACCUUACACUAGAACAUUAUAGGAAAGAUUAAAAGAAAGAGAAGGAACUCGGCAAACCCCAGCCCCGCCUGUUUACCAAAAACAUCGCCUCUUGCCUAACAUAAGAGGUCCAGCCUGCCCAGUGACAUAGUUUAACGGCCGCGGUACCCUAACCGUGCGAAGGUAGCAUAAUCACUUGUUCCCUAAAUAGGGACUAGUAUCAAUGGCAUCACGAGGGCUACACUGUCUCCUCUCUCCAAUCAGUGAAACUGAUCUCCCCGUGAAGAAGCGGGGAUUUUAAUAUAAGACGAGAAGACCCCAUGGAGCUUUAAACUUAAUAUACACCUCUACCCAUCUAUACCAAUUAACCCUAAAAGUCUGUGUGUUAGUUUUAGGUUGGGGGGACCGCGGAGUACAACUCAACCUCCACGACAAACGGGCUAACGCCCUUAUCCAUGAAACACAAUUCUAAGAAUCAACAAUCUGAUGUUUUAUGACCCGACAAGUCGAUCAACGAACCAAGUUACCCUGGGGAUAACAGCGCAAUCUA